GUGGACACACGAAAGCGGAGCGCUGGUAGUACCGACAUCCUGGGCCUCCUGGGUCCUGGCAGCAGCCUGGCUACAGCAACAGUGGAGCCCAGAUGAGCUACUGCUGCUUGAGGCUAGGAGGGAACAUGGGUGACAGAACAGAAGGUUGUUGGUCCACAAAGAACACUGGUUAAAGGAUGUGUCCUGAGCCAGGACAUGAACACAUGGCAUUAGUUUUUUAGACGUUCUGCUAGCAAGCCUGGGAAUGAUAGCGAUGCUCUCUGUGCCAUUCUGGAUGACAGCAGAUUUAUGCCUGAGUCACUUGUAGACGGCUGCUCAAAAGGCUGCAGGUCCUAGCAGAAAGCUACAGCUUCCAGCCAGAUAUCUACUUGGAUAUAGGGCUCAAAGUGUCUUUGAGUGACUGCAUGAAAGAAAAUGCGCAAGAGAAGCUCCCUGAGAAAGGGCAGACUCAUGACCAUCUUGUCUGUGGAGUGCUGUUUGCCUUUACAUUGGUUGGCUGUGUCCUUGAACCACAAGCCAAACCAUUUCCAGAGGCUGGCAUUCUUCUCUGAGAUCUCCAGACAGAUCAGUGGCUGUGAUGACCAGGGCUGUUGCUUGGUGGUGCCAAGAUGAAGGAAAGCUACCAGUUGUUGUUGUGCUGUACAGAUGCAGCAGGAGUUGGCUGUGAACACAGGUGAGACCUGGCCUGUCUCCAGGAGCCCAGCAAGAAACCUGCCUGAGCCUUGUGCAGGUGUGUGCCUUGGAAACAGCCACACAUCAGCCAUCUGAGGUCCCCUUCCUGGCGUGGCAUGGGGUGCCCUCUAAAUUCAGAAGGCUCUAACAGGUCCCAGGCAGGAUGACGAUUUAGAGUGGCAGGUGCAUUUUAGAAAUAUGGUGUUCAAACUGCUGGUUCUCCCAAGCUCACUGCCUACUACAGAUUGCCCUAACAGGUAAAGUCUCCUCUGUCACUGCCCUCUGUAAGCACACUGAGCACUGACCUGGCAGCAGCAAGCCUGGGUCACGCAAGGAACUGCCACUGUCACAGUGUCCAGAGCUCUCCCGGGCGGUGGAGCAGGGCUCCUCUGUCCAACGGUGCACUGAGGUCACGGAGCAAGGUGAGCCCAAAUGCCAUGCCAAGAGACAUUUCUAUUUCUAAGCAACCUGCUGUGGCAGCAGCUGUGUUACAUGCAAAGGAGGCUUUUUCCCUUAUGGAUUUUUUUCCCUUUCUUUCUAGUUAAGUUAAAAUAAAGCAGUUGUGGAUAUAAGUGUACAGAUGGCUUCUGCAAAGAAAACAAUACACAACAUUUACUGCAAGUAGGAGGCUGCUGCUCAGCUUUGCUACCCCGCAUGGCUGGGGUUGACUUACCGCAGACCGGCACAUCCCCAUCCUCAGUCCUCAGCCUUGCAGUGGCAGAGCUGGCAAGGAUGCUCUGAGCCACCCCCAACUCUUCCAGCCACUGGCAAAGCCCUCUCAGGCCCUGCGUUGUCCUGGUGUCUCGGCGAGGUGGUCCUGCGGCUCCCAGCGAGCGUCCCUGCUGAGGCAGGCAUCACCUCGCCACCCGCCUUGGCCGCUGGGUGAUUCCUGGCAGAGGUGACUCACAGGCAGGGAACCCUGCAAGGGCCCUGGCACAUGCCUGCACUGAAACACUGCCUACAGCCUCCUGCCUCUGCCCAGCUCGCCCUUCCUGCCGCCUUUCCCCCGGGGUCCUAACUCCCGACUUUGUUGCUCUAUAAACAUAAUAACAAUAAUUAUUCUCUCAUUGGACACAUAGCCAUCUUCUUUGUUUGCAGGCUUAGAUAAAUAUCAUUCAAAUCAUGGAGUCUGAUUCAUGAGUCAGGAUGAUGGCAGCCCUCCAAAACCUCCUUGCCCAUGGAGAGUGUGUUUGUGUGAGAGAGAUAGAGAGUUUCACUGUAUGAAGAGUAAGAAACUGGAAGCCAAGUGAAUUAAAUACAAAGCAGAUAAUUAUGUGUAAUUCAUUUACUGACUAAUGAUUGCACCUGGUACAGAGGUUUAUGAAUUCAUUUCACUCUGCAUAUGUUCUCAAAAACAAUCUCUCUGCUACAAGAUAAAAACUAGUCUGACAAUUCUUAAUAGAGCAGUGUUCGCAUUAGUGUUAGUGUAAGGUUCUUUCUGGUUCAUUCUUCAUUUUUUCUCACAAUGUUUCACUUUUCCUGGGUUCACCUGAAGUCUCUUUGACAAUGACAACUGAUCUGUGCUGGUAGAGGCUGGGUGUCACUGCAGAGUGAAGCCUUCACUCUGCUCCUGAAAGCUGUGCAGUGCAAUUACACACACUGCUUAUCUCCCAUCUGCUGCAGCCAAACCUUGCCACCAAGGCUGUGUCUUCAGCAGGGGAGUGGCAGGUCAUGGCCCCCCCUUCCCUCUCUGCUGGGAUUGCCAACAACUUGCCGCUCUUCUUAUGGUGUCACUCAGUUGUCACUGCACCCUGAUGCCAUCAGCUCCUUCCAGCUGAAUGCCAGCAGACAGUGCCAACUUUCACCUGCUAACACCUGGGUUGAUUACAGGUUGAAGACCAAAAGACAAAGCCUUUAACGGGGUGAAAAAGCUUGUGCUAAUCCAGCAAAGCCCAGCGGUGAUGUCUCAGUGUUGAUGUCACCCUGAAGACUGCAGCGUGUGUGACACGACACCACUCGUGCUGUGAGCAGGUCAGGUGUGGAGAUCUGAGCCAUGCUGGGCAAAGCCAUGGGUCCAAGGCCUCGCAGGGUGCUUGCAGCAACUACCCAAGGUGAUGCUGUUGCCAUGUGGUGGAAACAGAAGAGCUUUUCCAGUUGUGUUCCCAGUGCAAUCCUUGGGUGCACAGUAGAGCCCUUCUCCUAGCCCUCAGUGUGCCACAGGCAGCUCACCUUGGUAAUUCCUCCCACCUUGAAACAGAUCAAUACACUCAGUUAAUUGCUCAGGUCCUCUGAUGGCUGUUGCUCAACCCAACAGGCGUUUGGCUGUUUCCUGCCAAGUGUAUCAGGAUCAUCAUAUACCUGGGAUCUAUUUAUUAAUCAGCUCAAUCACAAGGUGCACGAGAGCUAAAUGUGUGUUUGUGCAAGUGGGAGAGAGCUACAUCUGCAGGCAUGACUGAAUGCAGAUUUCUGUGGGAUGCCCUUUAAGACUGCCUUUGGAAAGAAACAAACUUGGAAUGACGGAAGGGAAGGGGGAAGUUAUUUGGCAGUUUGAGUAGAGACUGUUUAAUAAAUCAUGAAAUACUCAUACUGAAAAAAUAUGCUGAUUUCACUUAUAUGCACUUUCUAGCAUUAUUUGCCAUUGAGGUUUUACCAAAAUGCAAUGAAGCUGAGCUCGUGGCUGCCAAUAAAAUAGCUGUAGUGUCUCAUGUAACUCCCACUGCUGCAAGAACACACUUGGAGGUGUCUCCUUGGAGCUGUCACCAGCAUCAGAGUGUGGUGACAAGAGAGAGUCACUGCGUCUUGCUGUCAGCGCAUCACUGAGCUCACUGCACACCCAGCAACUCCUCUGGCCUGCAUGCCCUGUCCCCAGCAGGGAGCUGGCCCUACAACUUGCAGCCCGCUUGGGAAAGCGGUGGAGGUGCUGCUAUCUCCAUCCGUGGCAGCCACAGGUAAUGAAAACAUGGGCAAUUAAAAAAAAGAAAAAAAGUAACCAUAUGCUCUGAUAUUUUUCAUUGGAGUGAUUUGUCAUUAGAAAAGCCAAAACCAGCUCAUCUUGUUCACGAGUAUUCCCAUUGACUAAAACAGCAUUCAGCAUGUGCUUUAAUUUUGAACCUAUGCAAUCUUUUUCUGAUGAAGAUCUGACAUGCCAGAACAGAUUGCAGUCUGUGAGAUACUUGCAAUAUGAUAGUAUUUUACCUGUAGGUGGAUCCUCAUUUUAGAUAGAGAGAUGCAGAGCCAAUGAGCCUGAUUCACUGCUGUGUUACUCCAGUUUUUUUGCACUGGAAUAACACCACUGAAUCAUCAGCAAAGUUGAAAUAACAAAUGAUAAAAUGGGACCAUUGUAUUUAGGUUUGCAGCAUGCAUAUAGAAAUGACUAGCUCUUUCUUGCAGAAUGAUUAAACUAUAUGGAUAUUUUUUGUGUGCUGUUUUUCCCAAACAUAUCAAGAAUACGACAAUAUGUCUGGGCUAGAGUUAUACAUGUAAAAAAAAAAAAAAAACCACAAACAAUUAAAAUUUAAUGUAACAGCUAGUACAGAACUCCCUCAGUAUGUCUGAUUGGAUUUGGUUUUUAAUUUUAUUCAGAAAAAAAAAAAUAAAAGCUUAUGAGAAGAGAACUUAUACACCUCAGAAAAUAUUAAAUUUUUGAUGCAGAUCAUUUCUGCACAUCAGGUGGGCACAGUCUAAAGCUUAGAAAUACAGUAAGUUUAAUACCUAGUCCUGGUUUCUAUGUAUGAAAAUACUCACUGAGCAAUUGAAAAGAACUGAGUAAUUGUGAUCUUUUUGCAAGUAAUGCCCUGGAAAAUCAACUAAAGGCAACAAGCAAGCUUGCAAUUAGUAGUUCUAAUUAUAAAGUGUAUACAUAAAACAAUGUAGCAUCAUAAGUAAAGGCCAAGUUCAAAUGAUGCAAUAGGAAUAGUAGAACAUCAUGUAAAGAUGGACAAAACAGCCAGCAAGAGAAAUACUUCUGAAUUAUCCAUAUUUUUCCAAUGACAGGAAAAAAAAAAAAUAAUGGCAGUGUUUUAUUUUUUGUAAUUUUUAUAGUAAUCUUUUCUUAGUUCUACCUGAUGCUCAUGCUUCUGUUGUAGACCACACUUGUCCUUAGAUGAUGAUGAUCACAGUGCAAGGUGCAGUAAUGAGAGACAUGGUUUAGUGGGUGACAUUGGCAGUAGGGUGAUGGUUGGACCAGAUGAUCUUGAAGGUCUUUUCCAACCUUAAUGAUUCUAUGAUUCUGCGAUCAUCACAAGCACAAGCUGGUGCAGGAGCCUGCGGCUCAAACAGUGGGCUCAGAUUAUCUAUGCCAUUUGUGUUUAUCAGGGGACUGCUUCAUGACUCACUUCCAUUUCCAUCACUGAAAGCAACUAUCAUAUGCCACAGCUUUAUAUAUAUAUAUAUAUAUAUAUAUAUAUAUAUAUAUAUAUACAUGAGCUUGAGUCUGUCUGCUUUCUAGGCAAGCUAGAUUUAUGUCAAAUACAAGCUAAUGAAGUUUGAAAAAAAGGAGUAACUUCAGUACAAUGUGGGGGUCUGUGCUAAACAGUUUGCAGUAUGUAUAGCUAUGUGUGCACUCUAAGCUUCCCUGAUCUAUGACAACACUUGAUGUACUACAUGGGAAAUGUGAACCUCCAAUGUUAUGGGGCAGCAUCACUGCAGCUCUUCUCUGGACACAGUGUGUGCAAUAGCAGCACAGGAUUACGUGCUGCACUAGUUACAGAACAUCUCUCAAAAUUAAGUCCUGGAUGCAACUAGAGAAGGUGAAGAGACAGAAUACCUUAGGGAAAUGUUUUUAUUUAUUCUCCUUGGAUGCAUAUAUGGCAAUCACCCAUGUAGCGUGAUCCAGGAUGUUGAAAACCAUUUCAUUAUGUUCUAUAAAUAAAGGACUGAUGUGGUUCAAUUGUAUCAAUUAUGCAACUCUUCUAAGUGGUGUAGUCAAGGGUAAAUGCAGGCAAAGGGCACUCCCUUUGUACCCACUUCUACUCUGGGCACUUCGAGUAUUUACCUGCUUCUUCUAUACCACAGACAGAUGAAUCUACCCACUUUUAUUUACCACUGUACCACUGACUCCUCUUUGGUCAAGAGCUUUUCCUAUGCACUGAGGACACAAUGAAAUAGAAAAUGGAAGUCAAGACACUGCUAUGUAUUAGUCUGUUGUGCAAGAUGUAAGUGUGGCUGUACAGUAAUUUUGAGCAAAGCAUCGGUUUUAAACAAUGUUUAAACUGACACUAUUAUUAUGCAAUAUAAUUAAUUAUGGCCAGAAGGGCAUUUGAGGUUAUUUGGCGCUACCUUUGUCCAUUUCAUAAUUAUACCAAGAAGAGAAUGACUAAGUUGUGCCUAGGCUAAUUGUAUCCAUUUGGUUUUAUCCCUCCUCUCUGCCAUCAUACGUCACUUGCAUUCUGAUCUGGAAGCUUUUUGGAGGGGUCUGGAUGCAUUUGUGCUGAAUACAAUGGAGCCCAGUGCUGGCUGAGCAGCCUCAGGUAAUAUUGCAAAUAGAAGCACUAACAAUAGCAAUAAUAAUUACAGCUAGUCGAAGUGAUAAGUACAAAACAAAUAUCACUUUUUUCCUGCCGCUAUUACAGUUGCCUAUGAGAUUUAUCCAUAUCUGCUCCUUCUCUGUGCCUUCUAGGAUGCAUUUGUGUAGCUAGAAGGUAACACUUCGUGGCAUGACACGACAACUACCAGAUGUGCUGGGAACCCAGCAGAUACCUCCUGUGAGCAGCUGAGGGUCAGCAGCAGAUGGCCAUGGCAGCACACCCUGUGCCAGCCCUCUUGCCAAACAUGCCAAGGGGGUUCAGCAUUCCAGGGACGCACAAUAUGGCCCAGAUGCCCGGGCAGAACGGGCAGGAUGCCCCAGUUAGCAGGCAGCUCCUGCUCCUCAGCCCACCCCGGCUCCACCAGCAGUCCUCAGCCCAGGCUGGCUGCCACAGUGCGACGUGGCACUGUGCAAGCACUGUGCCUCUGGACGUGCAGUUUGCUGCUGGUGUUAGGGCUGCUGUGAGGACAGCAGGUCACCUGGGCUCUGGAGCCAGGCUGGCUGCCCCGACAGCCCAGCCGCAGCAGCAGAGCACUGUGUUUGAGCUAAGCAGCUGCCCUGGACCUGAGCCGGCAGGUCGCUUACCAGCCAGAUGAGCUGCCUGGAGGUAGCGGUGAGUAAACUGUCUCUUUUGAAUGGUACUUGGCAGUGUCAGGAUUAAAACCAAACAACCAACCAAUCAAAACCAAAAAUAAUAAAAAAACAAAAACAAAACAAAAUGGUGACAAUAAAUGUACCCCAGAAAGGAAUCUGGUAAUAUAUGGUCUUGUUCAGCUACAACGAAAGUCUACGGUCUUCAGCUGAUGGCUGGAAACUGGAUUGCACUCAUGUAAAAUAGAACUGUCUGCAAGGGUUGAAUGCUGUAAUUAACAGGCAUUUUUUAGAAAUUAUUGGCUAAUGCCAUUUAAUAGAAAUACUGCCAACUAUUGUUGUUAAAACUUAGUUUGUUCCUUUGGUGGUAAUAUAUAAUGACUCAACACUGCUUCACUGGGAAGAGAUACCUUUGUUAUAUAUCACUACAAUGAUACUCAUUUUUACAAUGGCUUAUAUAGCAAAUAACUCAAAUUUUGAAACUUAAAUAUAGCUUCAGAAUGUAACAAGAGGGUCACCAGUCUCCUGAGCAAUCACAAUAUUUGUGAUACAACACAGCCCAUUUAUCAUAACAUGCCAUUACUGACCCAGUCCCCCUGCCACAGCCCGCAAUGUAGCUUUUGCCACUAAUGGUGCUUAAACAGAACCAAGUGUAAAGGUUUCUAGAACAGGCAAAUAUGCCAAUGUAAGUUUGAGCAGCUCCAUCUGGAGCAUUUCUCUUGCAGUAUAUACACUACCACCCAGAGAAGUAAUGUACAUUUUUGGUAGUGAACUCUCUGAACCAUACCAGGGAACACAGGUUGCGCUGCUAUAAUGAGCUCUACUCAUGGGAUGCAGCUGUCUUAUCACCUAAGAAUAUUUUCACAAUGCUGCAAUAGUGACCGAAAGGUUAUUUCUCAAACCUUGUCACCCAGAAGGUACCAGCUGAAAAGUUUCUGUCUGAUUGCUAAAGAGUAGAAAGCAACAAACGAACAUUGGCAAAUCUUAGAUCAGGCAUGAUGUUGAUGUUGCACACCUCAGACUAACGCCUACCUUCACUUCAGGGAAAGGAGAAACCAGACCUGCAGACACACUAAUCGCUGCUGCUUUCAGAGUUCCCACUCACCUGUUUGGAAAUGAACUACAGAACCUUACUGCUUUCUAUUUACUGCACCAAGAGCCAGUAAUCUCUGAAUGCUUCUAAAGAGUCAUUAAUUGCAUUGCUAUUACAGCAUUUUAUGAUGUAAAAUCUUUUUAAUGGCUUUAAAAGAAAAGGCAGUCUGUGCUGGGGUUGACCUUUCUGAUACAAGAAGGGGAGGUGAAGUCCUCUCUCUGUUCAGCUGGGAGUAGCACAAAGGUGAUGAUGCACUGCAUACAUUUGGGAGGGUUUGAUGGUGUGGGUUUGUGACCCACCAAGCCAGGGUCACCUCACCUCCAGGAGGGUGAGUGGCAGCUCUGGGCUGUCAAGAGCCGGACUCAGAUCAUCAGACGGUGUCGGAGGCAAAAUCAGAGUUCCCAAGGCCUGGCUUCGCGCUGUACCCAUUGGUGAGUUUAAGCACAGAGACUCUGUGCGUGUUUUCCAGCACAGGAGGCCAUGCCCUUCACUUGUUUCUAAAGGAAGGCACUUAGAGCACAUGGGCACGGACACCCAGCAAUGCUGGUGGUGGACAAGUUCCAGGCAUGGCCGAGGAAAGCUGGAUUGGGAUGGUAACAGCACCAAAGGGAUUUGGGUAUCCCAUUCCCCAGGCUUUCGGUAGUGCUGAACAUGAUAAGCUCUUGGACAAGCCUGCAAAUAUCCCAGCCCACCAUCUGAUGUAGGUUACAGCCCUCUCCAAAGUCAAAAUGCUGGUUAACAUGCAUGUAACCUGCAGUGCACUCAGAACACCUGUUACACAGUACCCCUGGUCAGCAGAGCACAGUAACGUCACCGAUUGCCUUUUGCAGAGCACAGACUUGGCUACAUACAGCCUAGGUGAGGAGCAGAGCCUCAGAAGAGGAAGGCAGGCGCCAAAAUACACACAUGGGGCUGGAGGCUGGGUAGUCCCAGUGCCCAGGUCACAAAUGAACCUGCGUCUGCAGUAAACAUUUCAGUAUUUGUCUGGCUGUUGCUCACCUUGUCCGAGAGCCUCCCCAGCAGCAGUGUCCCCAUUAGUUGACACGUUGUGUGCCUGCAUUGGAUGACAGAACUACUGCAGUGUGUAUAAAGGCGGAGAAGGUGGUAUGUUAACAAAUAAUAUCGAGUGAAUUAAUUUCUCCUUCCUGCAUUGCUGUCUCUGCUCUAUUUUCUCAAUUAAACCAGGUUUUUAAAGACAAUUUAUUCAUUUUUCCAGACCUCAUAUAUAAUUGUAGCAGGAGUAUUAGUGUACACCAGCUAGAAACAGAGUUGUGAAUGGACAUUCUCUUUUGAAAUGUUACUCCAUCCUCCCACACCUCUUUCUUCUUUGCUAACUCCAGUCACCCAUCCCCAGGACCUACACCCACUCUGAUCCCAACUCACUGAUGAACAUACAUGAAAACAGACCUUGCUAAAUAGAUUGCAGCUCCUGUUCCAUAGCUGUGUUUAUAGGAUCAUUUGGAUACUAAAUCUGAUCCCUAAAUGAGAGCCCACUGUUUGAGUAAGGACUCCAGGGUUUAGUGCUUGUGCCAUGGAAGAGGUUACUCAGCACAGCAGCUCUGAGGUGCUCCAGGAUGGGAUGCAGCCGAGUGGAGGCCUGACCCCAGUGAGGCUAUGGCUGGUCCUGAUGCAGUGUUUGGGAGCUUCCCCCUGUGCAGAUGGGACCCACAGAAGCUGAGUGAGGAGGCACAUGAACUGCUCAGGGGGGCACCACUAAUUCCACCCAAAAUGGCCCCUGUGGGAGCCCCCUCCCUUCAUUUCUCCAUCCUUCUCUUCCACUGAAAGCCCUGCCUGCUGGGGCCCUAAAGGCUUGGGCUCACUUCUGUGAAAAGUUUUCCACUUUGAGCCAACAACAUCCCAAAAAGAUGGAGGGUGCAGAGCAAACAACAGAAAACUCAGCAUGGGACACUGAUGCAAAAAAGGUUUCAAAAGGUAAAGUGGCUUUAUAAGAGUUCAGCAUUGAUGCCACAAACAAAAGGAAGUGUGCUGGAUGUUUUAUUUUGUGUGUGAGGUAAACUGUACAGUUAGAGUCUGAAUAAACCUCUUUUGUCAAUUUUA